GACGAACGCUGGCGGCGUGCUUAACACAUGCAAGUCGAACGGUGAAGCGCCUUCCUUUUUGGUGGGUGUGGAUGAGUGGCGAACGGGUGAGUAACACGUGAGUAACCUGCCCCCUUCUUCUGGAUAACCGCAUGAAAGUGUGGCUAAUACGGGAUAUUCUGGGUCUGUCGCAUGAUGGGUCUGGGAAAGAUAUUGUUUCGGUGGGGGAUGGGCUCGCGGCCUAUCAGCUUGUUGGUGGGGUGAUGGCCUACCAAGGCGGUGACGGGUAGCCGGCCUGAGAGGGUUGACGGGUACACUUGGGCUGGGGCCCGGCCCAGACUCCUACGGGAGGCAGCAGUGGGGAAGAUUGGACAAUUGGCGCAAGGCUGGUGCAGCGGCCCCGGGUGAGGGGUGGAGGCCUUCCGGUUGGGAACCCCUUUCGCCAGGGAAACAGGCCUGCCUCGUUUUGGGGUGGGUUGACGGGUGCUUGAUAAGAAGCGCCGGCUAACUACGUG
rnacentral:rRNA from 1 species